rnacentral:rRNA from 1 species
CGUGCUUAACACAUGCAAGUCGAGCGGUAAGGCCCUUCGGGGUACACGAGCGGCGAACGGGUGAGUAACACGUGAGCAACCUGCCCCUGACUCCGGGAUAAGCGGUGGAAACGCCGUCUAAUACCGGAUAUGACACACCAUCUCCUGGUGGUGUGUGGAAAGUUGUAUCGGUCAGGGAUGGGCUCGCGGCCUAUCAGCUAGUUGGUGGGGUAAAGGCCUACCAAGGCGAUUACGGGUAGCCGGCCUGAGAGGGCGACCGGCCACACUGGGACUGAGACACGGCCCAGACUCCUGCGGGAGGCAGCAGUGGGGAAUAUUGCACAAUGGGCGAAAGCCUGAUGCAGCGACGCCGCGUGGGGGAUGACGGCCUUCGGGUUGUAAACCUCUUUUACCACCAACGCAGGCCCCGGGUUCUCUCGGGGUUGACGGUAGGUGGGGAAUAAGGACCGGCUAACUACGUGCCAGCAGCCGCGGUAAUACGUAGGGUCCGAGCGUUGUCCGGAAUUAUUGGGCGUAAAGAGCUCGUAGGCGGCGUGUCGCGUCUGCUGUGAAAGACCGGGGCUUAACCCCGGUUCUGCAGUGGAUACGGG